CUCAAGCUAAGAGAGUGAAUGCUUUGGCUAAAGUGCCAGAAGCUACAGCAAGAAUAAAGUUGGAACGCCACCACAAUGGAAACUUAGAAACCCCCAUUAAAUAAUCAUUUGAAAAUGAGAAAAUGAGUUUACAUGGCAGAAGGAGUGCCAUUAAUCUUUAAGUGAAAGUUACCAAGAUGAUGAGAAAAGUUUGAUGUUAGAAUUCCCUAGUCAAAUCUGAG
rnacentral:lncRNA from 1 species